CCUACGGGUGGCUGCAGUGAGGAAUAUUGGUCAAUGGGCGGAAGCCUGAACCAGCCAAGUAGCGUGCGGGAUGAAGGCCCUACGGGUUGUAAACUGCUUUUACACGGGGAUAACACCCUCCACUUGUGGCGGUCUGCAGGUACCGUGCGAAUAAGGGCCGGCUAAUUCCGUGCCAGCAGCCGCGGUAAUACGGAAGGCCCGAGCGUUAUCCGGAUUCAUGGGGUUUAAAGGGAGCGUAGGGGGGAGUUCAAGUCAGUGGUAAAAUCGGGCGGCUCAACCGCGCCCCGCAGUUGAAACUGGACGCCUUGAGUUCAGAGCAGGCAGGCGGAAUUCGUGGUGUAGCGGUGAAAUGCAUAGAUAUCACGAGGAACCCCGAUUGCGAAGGCAGCCUACCGAGGUGCGACUGACGCUGAGGCUCGAAGGUGCGGGUAUCAAACAGGAUUAGAUACCCUUGUAGUC
rnacentral:rRNA from 1 species